rnacentral:lncRNA from 1 species
AGCAGUUUAAACCUGGGAGGUAUUCUGUAAAGUCCACCUAGUGGACAUGUCCAUUUCGUCUGCUGCUAAAGCGCUCAUUGGCUGGGGGUGCCUGCCUCCUUCUGACGCGUACCCCAACCCAGCCAAUCAGAAUUUCUGCAGCAGACGAAAUGGACAUGUCCACUAGG